rnacentral:lncRNA from 1 species
GACUUAUUACGUCGAAUGCAGUUGCAAAGAGAGGCCAUCCCAGGAACAAUGGGAGUCGCGAAAUUCAACUUUAUCACAGUAAAGACAUGAAAGACAUGUGAAGUCACGAUUACCAAGCCGAGCUGAAUAAAGAAUGUCAGACUUAUUACGUCGAAUGCAGUUGCAAAGAGAGGCCAUCCCAGGAACAAUGGGAGUCGAUCUGAAGGUCUUAAAAGAUUGAGCUGUCAUCGACAUUUCAACCAUACCAGAAACAACAAAAGAUACUCUAUGGAAAGGAUGUGAACAACAGUUCUUAUUUGACUGAUAGGACGAAUACUGAG